AAGCCUCAGGUUUUCGUCCUAUGCUUCCAGCUGUUCUAACACCUCCUGCCUGCCAGUACUGACUCUUUAUGCAUGGGGGCUUCCGGCUUAUCUAUACUUCGAAGACAGUGAACUAGGUUAACCAGAUAUAGGACUCCUCUGUCUUGCUACGAUGGACAGCCACAAGGAUUCACUUGAAUAAAAGAAGCAACAGUGGGUGCCAGGCUGUUUGUGCUGUGGAUUGAAUGGCGGGCCUUGCACAGAAAUGUGCUGUUUUGUUAUACAUUUAUUACAAAGAAUCUCACAAAAAGAAAAUAUUUCAAAAAGAAUGCCAGGCUAAAGAACCUCCACCUGGAGAACUGGGGGAAGGCAGGGCAAUAAUAUCAACGUCAACAUACAGCACCCUCUGGCCAUACUUUAGCAGUUCCAGGAUGGCCAAGACGACAUCGUUGAUGUAACAGAAACCUGAGGCGUCAGACUUCUUUACAUGAUGCAGUCCCCCAGCCUGGCUCGCAGUGAUGUCCCUCUGAUGUGUAUCAAGUUUCACAGCACUUUCCAAAGAGCCACCAAUAGACAACUGACAACUCAGACAGGCCAUCGAUUACCGGGAAGUCCUCACCAACGCGGAAUCUCUGCAUCUGCUUGCUGUAUUUAGACACAUUAUCUGGGCGAAUAGAGCACAAGAGUUUAAUGUAGUCAUCACUGUGGGACUUGGUCAUCUCCUCAGCGUUGGCUCUGUGAGGACGAUAGAUUUCCAUUUUUUGGUAGAGAUGUAGUUGAGCUGCAAAUCACGAGUCAUGUGGAUUCGGUGAGGCUUCAUUGGGUGGCCCUGUCCAUAAGAUAGUUUCCAACAUCCCUGUUAACAGACGUUCCUCUUGCCCUGAGUCUGUGCCAUCUUUCUCACCACCCAGUGCUCCUGCCAGUCUGAUGUUUUAAUAUUUUUAGAUGGUGAUGCUUUGAGUUUAAAUGGCCUUUGACAAAUUCUAUCCUAAUUUCUAAUUAAGACAAGGAAAGAAAACAAAGAUGGAUAAGGACCAUAAAGUAAUGAAUGGACUGGAAACAGAAGUAAACUUAUUCAACAAUAAAA
rnacentral:lncRNA from 1 species